rnacentral:rRNA from 1 species
AUUGAACGCUGGCGGCAGGCCUAACACAUGCAAGUCGAACGGUAGCACAGAGAGCUUGCUCUCGGGUGACGAGUGGCGGACGGGUGAGUAAUGUCUGGGAAACUGCCCGAUGGAGGGGGAUAACUACUGGAAACGGUAGCUAAUACCGCACAACGUCGCAAGACCAAAGUGGGGGACCUUCGGGCCUCACACCAUCGGAUGUGCCCAGAUGGGAUUAGCUAGAAGGUGGGGUAAUGGCUCACCUAGGCGACGAUCCCUAGCUGGUCUGAGAGGAUGACCAGCCACACUGGAACUGAGACACGGUCCAGACUCCUACGGGAGGCAGCAGUGGGGAAUAUUGCACAAUGGGCGCAAGCCUGAUGCAGCAUGCCGCGUGUAUGAAGAAGGCCUUCGGGUUGUAAAGUACUUUCAGCGGGGAGGAAGGCGGUGAAGUUAAUAACUUCACCGAUUGACGUUACCCGCAGAAGAAGCACCGGCUAACUCCGUGCCAGCAGCCGCAGUAA